AGUGGGCAGUGUGGGUGCAUACGUACAGCGACGGCAGUGCGGGCUUGUGUUAUUAAAACAAAAUAUGGCUGUGGCAGGUGUGGGCUGGCCCGCUAAGUAGGACUUGGAGGCGGGGGCUUGUUCUCUGGCUGCUGGAACAUUUGCUGCCACCUCAUUGCCUCUGGGUCACAGGACCACAAGGCCAGCUUGGAGCCCCCACACCUGAUGGGGAUUGGGCAGGAGGCGGCUUUCCCUCCUCUGCAUUGUUCUGCUCAAGCAUCUGCUGCCAGAAAGUGUCCUCCCUCUGUGGAGCACCACGUGGACGAGGCUGGCCGGCAGCCUGGCCCCAGGCCCCACAGGUGAUAAAGCUCCCUUGCUACCCGGGGGUGAGUGCUGGCCGGGCCAGGCCCCUGCGCAAAGCAGACCCUCGGGCCUACUGAGAUGGCCCCUGUGGCUCCGGGAGCACGAGAAGCCUUGGCUUGCACUGGCCUCUGUUCGAGAAGGCGCCUCCCAUCCCCUAGUGCCCAAGCUGAGGGUCCCUAGAGGUAUUUGUGGAUAAAAUAGAUGCUCUCACCUCUGCCUGUGUUUGACUCGCUCCAGUUCGUUAUCAGGAUUGUCCCCUGUGAGGCGGCAGCCCUGAUUCCGGGGGCGAUGGCAUGCCUGAGGCCCAGGCUGGCCUGUUUCAUGCUCCAAAGCCCGUCCGCCCUGAGGAAGUUUCUUUGCCAUUUUUUCCUUCUCUCACUCUCAGGCUGUGGCGUAAAUUGGGAUGAAAAAGUAUGGACCUGUAUUCCUUCCCGGGACCGUGGAGAAAACUCACCCCUGGAUUUCCUGGGCCGCCUGGGCUGCCUGAUGGCCAGCCGGCUGAGAGCUGACAUUGGGAGUGCAGGGUCUUUUUGGGCAAUGUCCUGGGCUGCCAGAAUGGGUCUAAAUACAUGAAAAGUAGGUUAACUUGCUAUACUCCCUGCGUUUAUUCUUCCAGCUGAAAUUUUCCUGACUUUUUUUCACUUUCAUUUUAUUAGGUUAAUAAAACUUGGUUUUCGAGCGUUUCGCUGCCCCAGGGGGGCAGUGGGCCCCAUGUCCAAUUCAUCAAGUGCCUAAUGAGUGGCCUCAGAGGUCCCGGCCCAUCCAUUCCAGAAGCUCUCUCUGCCUCGUAAAGGUGAGGCCUACGGGCUGCACUGUAUAUUUUGUCUGUUAGUUUCCCGAAUUCUCCUGCCAGCUCAACUGUCACUUUUCAGGAUUUAUAUGAGGCCAACAGCACCACGGGGCAGCUCCCCUCCACAGCAGAACCCCCCCCCCCCUUUGCCUGUUCUUCACACACACCACACACUCUGUGCCAUAAAACAAUGUUUCUGCAAUAAAACGAAAUAGAAAUGUGUUGAUGCUAGCAUUUUAGAACAUUCCAGCCAAAGGGCUGCGGGAAAUGCCUUCUUUUACGUGAAGGAGGGAAGCUCUGUGGAAGGAGGGGAUAAACAGUAUGAGACGGGGCCUUUAGGAAGAAGAGAUAGCUUGGUCCUUAAAUAAACUGAAAAUAAAACGUGUGCAUGUGUAACUGCGCACACGCGUGCAGUUUCUGAAUUCUUUAUACACUUAUGUUUAUACUGCCCUGGCUUGUUUUUAUGGCUUCGCAGAAGGAACAGUGAGAAAGAGAAAUUCAUGUCACUUGCUUUCUGGGCCGAAGUGCUCUGUCUACUUCUAGAACAUUCUCCAUUUCCUCCCUGCCAGGCUCUCCUGCCUUUGCCAAGUUGUCGGACGCUGCCAGCUCCAGGCUUGGGCUGUGUCCCCCGACCAUGGAUAGGAAACUAGAGUUUGAGCGGCAAGAGCUGGAGGCACAUACACCAGCUCAGGACUCGGGAGGUCGAGAGAUGCAGUGACGGGCCUGGGGCGCGGGCAGUUGUGGCUGGUGGGGUCCUGGGCCGGAGGCCUCCCAGAUUUCCCCACAGAAGCCUGGGUGGGUCUGGGGUCCUCCUCUGGUUGAGCCUCCAGAAAUCGCCCAGCCUUUCCCGAAGCGCUCUGGUGGCUCCUAAGUGACUCCGCACGGUGACCUGCGGCUUUUGUGCCCUUCCUCUCAGCGGCUGCCGUGAGCACAGGAGGGAAGGGGCGCUGAGCGGAGAUCACGCGGGCUCUGCAGGCGGUGAAGCUCUCUCCUGGGGGUCCCUGCAUUUCAUCACCCUCCCGGCCGCGAGGCCAGGGCCCAGGCCCCGUCCAAACAGUUGGCUGGGAUUUGGGGACUUUUUUUAACCCUGGCCUUGGAGAGGUGAGGCGUCUCCCAGGCUGUAGGGCAGAGGCGGGAAUGGCUGUCCCUCUUCUGCAGGCUCCUUGUCCUGUGGAGCAGGUGGUUUCUGGAGGGCCUUUGAAGCCAAGGGGGGGCGCGUCUGUGGCCAGCUCACCUGUGAGGAGACGGGCACCAGCCAGCACCUCCUCCCUUUCCUGUGGCAGGCGGCGUGGCCCUCAGCAGUGACCUCCAAGUGUCCACACACCCCAGAAUUUUCGACCCAGCUUGGCAUAUCCCCUAGGUUCCCACUGGGCUGAAGGAGUUCACGGCGUGUGGGUGUGUGGCCACGAGCAGCUGCUUUGGUUGUGGCUCGGGGGGAGUGGGUCCAGCUCACACCCCAUGAAGACCCUCAACCCAGGACUGGCCAUUCUCAGCCGGCCCCGUCCCACCCCGAAGUGGCUGCAGCACGACUCCCCUGCAGGGUUUCCCGGGAGGAGCCGGUCCUCUCCCCCGCAUGCGGACUGGGCACUUGCGCAUUAGAUUAUCUUCUGAAAAUAUACUUUGAAGGGGUUGUGUUUUGUUUUGUUUUUCCUACUUGACACUCUUGAAUCAAGUAGGCCAUUUAUCUUUUAGGCAGAAGGAUUUCAGUAGUUAUACCCCACACUUGCAGGAGGAUCGCAGACUCCAAGCACAGAGCUAGUUUAACCUUUUUUUUUUCUUCGUCACGGGUUUAUUCUUGUCUUAGCUUCCCCCCUAAACUUUGCAGCUUUCCUCCCCCAUCUAACUAAUCCUCCCAAUUGCGGGUCCUCCCCCUGCCCCCCCCCCCCACUGCCCGCCCCCAUGCAUCCAUCCCACCUCAAGCUACUCAGACUGAAAGGCGCAUUCAUGCCCAGGCCAUCUGUUUGUUUAAACUCACCCCAUGUUAGUCCAUGUUAAAUGCAACAGAAUGGAGAAAAAUGUAAUUCUCUGUCGGCUUUUGAUCAAAGAGAGGACUUUUUAAAAAAAUCCAAGAUGGAUUUCUGAAGGACAGUGUUAUACACAUUCCGCGUGUUUCUGAGCUUCAGUGUUUAGUUGAUUUGGGGGAAAUUUUUUUCCCCCUUUUGAUCCCAGGGAGAAAACACUCGCACAAACACAUCUCAGCACCACAAACAUCACAAGGGGGGCACUUUUCUACAGACUCCGCAGCUGAAAGGUGGAAGGAACUGCCUUUAAUUUAUCAACAGCCCAAGAGAAUUCGAAAUAGGGCUCAGCUGCUAUACGCAAACCCUUUGUAACUCUGUGGGAAUUCAGGGCAAAGUCCCUCUCGUUGGGGCAAGUUCAGGACCCAGGAUGCUCCCCCCUCUACCCUGCGCUCAGGAACACACGCAUCCAUGCUUGCUCCAUGAUCUGAUUUUCACAGCCGAUCAUGAAAUGUACAUUUCUCCCCUUACUCCCUGGGCUUCGGAGCAAAUGCAAAUAAAAAGUGCUUAAAAUGGUUAACAUUUCCUGUCACUUGAGGCAUUCGUUAGGGGUGGGGGUCGCUGAGUUUUAAAGUGUAUUUUCAUAGGAAAACUCAUUUCAGAUUUGCGGCAGGAACUAGGACCGUUUCACACAGAGAAUUUUUGGGUUUGUGAUAAGCCUGCGUCCAUUGCAGGCGGUCAAAUGAUCCUGUAUAUUAUGCGGGUGCAGGAGAGCAAAUAUCCAGAUUCAAACUGAGAUUAACCUGGGGCCCAGCUCAGGUCACAGGAAAAAAAAUUAAAAUAUGCCCUCUUUCCCCACCCUCUCCUCUGCUCAGUUUCUUCUGCUUUAUUUGAGGACCCCCCCAUUUGGUGCUUUAAUUUGUUGUGUUUCCUCUAUCGAUUGUUUAGCUGGUGAUUUUGCCAGCGUCCUGGAUGUUCGUUCUAGUCUGCCCAGAAGAGUCACAUUUCCUCCUGGAAUCGGGACCAGGACACAGACAGACCCGCAGACACGGGAAACGGUGAGUUGGGUAGUCCACGGUCUCUCCUGCAGCUCUGACCCCGAGGGUCCUGUCCUGCCUCCCCUUUCUUUCUCUACCAGCUACCUUUCCACGGGGCUUCUCCCCUGAGCUCACUCGGUCAGCCCUCAGCACCAUUCUCAACUUUUAGGAAAAGAGACUGCAAUUUCUACGCAAACAUCGGGUAGGAAGGGGAGGGGGAGUGUGCUUACCAAUUGCAGGGACUUCAAUUUUCAUUUUAAGGCUCCAAAAGAUGGAGAAAGUAAACAGAAGCAGGCUGGUUUAUUUCAGGGGCUAACAGGGAGUCCCUGCUGAAUUUACCUAAUAAAAUGAAUUUAAAAAUUUUUCUUUUUCUCAUUUCAUUCCAGCAGAAAAUGAGUUUGCCUUUAUAAUGUCCAGAUCUUUCAAACUCUAUUGAGUGAGAAAUUAAGUUACAAAAUGUAAAUACUUUGGUAUAUAUAUAAUGAAUAUGUAUAUAUGAAAUGAAGUAAUUUGUGACUGUAAUACAAUAGCAAGCCUGACUUUAAGGCUCUUAGGACACUUAAAAUUUUUUAUGAUGUGUCAUAAAGAGAAAUAAGAUUCAGUAAAAAUAUUUCUCUUUUAAAAUAAGGAAAUUGUGAUACUUAGUAAAUUUCAUUGUAAUUUUCAUUUAACAUAAGUUAUCUAUUAAAAAUUUUUUUCUGAACAUCUUGUCAAAUGUUGGGAGGGUUGUUAAAGAAACAUAUGUUAAUAUUCUAGGCCACAGUCGACUUCUUUCCUUUCCGUGAAACUGUUCCAACGAGUAUGGGAAAUUAUAAAACAAUGUAGUUUUCUCGCGAAAAGAAUACCCUGACUUUCAUUACCAGGAAAAAGCAAUUAAUUCUCAAAUUUCAGCGAUCAGUUGGGAGCAGGACGACGGGGGGGAAGCAAGAUGGUUAUUUGCAUAAGAACGUCCAGAAACCAGCAUCCCGCAGAUGUAUGAUCAGAAUGUAAUUUUAUUGAUAAGGAAAAGUUAUAUAAACUUGAAAAAUGGGAGUUGUUUUGCUUAAGUGCCUGAAAAAAAGCGUUUAGAAUAAUAUUUGGGUUACCUCAGUUUUGUGCUCUUGUGUUCUUGAAGCCUUGUGAGGUUCAAGAACUCCAGAGGAGUGGUGUGCCCGUGUGAGCAUGUGUGUGUGUGUGUGUGUGUGUGUGUGUGUGUGUGCACUCGCUUCCCCUGUGUCCCCAGCCCAGCCCAAGGAGGUGGGAGCUGAUUGGUGAAGAAAACUUUUACUCCAGAAAUUCAUAACUAAUAGAAAAUUCUUAGAAAUUAAAAACAGCGAUUUUCUUCUCACUUUUUCACCUCCUGUUUGGGAGUCAUUGCCAGGGAUAGACUGAUGGGGUUGAGCCGGGUUUCCGUAUCGCCACAGAUCACUUUGUGGGAAAAGGUUGCCAUGUUCCUGCACUUUUUAUUAGAGGAUUUGUUCUUGCUCUUCUGUCCAUGAAGCUAUGCCAUUGUACAUCUUCAGUAGAUUUUAUAAGCUUUCCGAUCUGAAUUGCUGAAAUAGAAACCUUCCCAUUCGUAGGGCGCGUCCCCUGAUUUCCACUAGAUGGCGAUGUUACUUCUAGAGUGCCCCGUGGGGUGGGGGUGGGGAAGAUGGCCGCUGAGAUCCAGCCCAGAUUGUGUCAGGACCCCUCACCUCUCCAGAGUGCAUCCAGUGAUCCAGGAGAACUUUUCUGAGGCCUUGCCUGAAAUGCGCCAAGCCAUCCAGGAAUGUUUAAAGCAUUUAAGGCAACUGUCUUUCCUUCCUGAAAUGGCCUGAGACAGGGCCCAGCUAGAGUUCAAAGAAAUACUUCUUGGAAAUGUUCAAAAUAAAAAUGGAAGAAGCUUAGCAGCUAUUUCAGUAUUUUAUCUGUUGCCUGUCUCUGUUCUCGCAAGUGAAAGAUAUCCUAUGACUCUCCUGUAAAAAUCCUGAAGAAUAUAGACGUUACAGCAGGGCAUGGACUCUUCCAUGUGAACACAGGGCCCGUUAAAGUCAGGCAUCUGCAGGUAACGGUACCAGAGUCCCACCUUCUCAAAAAAGUUUUUUCCUUUUGAAGGUGACGAGUGCAUGUGGGACUCCCCCCCCCCCCCGGAUUUGUAUUUCAUUGUCUCAGUACCUGCUAAAUGGUAUCACCAGCUUCCUAAAGCUUUUAAAUUUCCAUCUCCCGCGAGCGAACCUCCUUUUCUCAUGGGAAAAGUUUCUACUUUAUCUCAAAAAGAAACAGACAUGUUUCUAUGCCCACCACUUGCUAGAGAGAACCUCAACAAUGAUGAACAUUCACUGCAACAUAUUUAAGGUUAAAAUGAUUUCAUAACAUUUUUUUAUUACCCAAUGAAUGUAUUACAUUUGUCGUUGUACAAUGAUCAUCACAUUUUUGAAUGAUUUAAAUGUUUUGAUUUUUCAUGAGACAACAUGAUUCCUUAAUUUGUUUUAUGUAAUAAUUUGCCAUAUCUUUUUUUAUGGAAAAAGGAAUAGGGUGCAUGUCGAAAAUUGUUUUAAACGAAUUGGAAUUCAACAACAGC
rnacentral:lncRNA from 1 species